rnacentral:rRNA from 1 species
AUUGAACGCUGGCGGCAGGCUUAACACAUGCAAGUCGAGCGGAGCGAGGGUGCUUGCACCUUAGCUUAGCGGCGGACGGGUGAGUAAUGCUUAGGAAUCUGCCUAUUAGUGGGGGACAACAUUCCGAAAGGGAUGCUAAUACCGCAUACGCCCUACGGGGGAAAGCAGGGGAUCUUCGGACCUUGCGCUAAUAGAUGAGCCUAAGUCGGAUUAGCUAGUUGGUGGGGUAAAGGCCUACCAAGGCGACGAUCUGUAGCGGGUCUGAGAGGAUGAUCCGCAACACUGGGACUGAGACACGGCCCAGACUCCUACGGGAGGAAGCAGUGGGGAAUAUUGGACAAUGGGCGGAAGCCUGAUCCAGCCAUGCCGCGUGUGUGAAGAAGGCCUUUUGGUUGUAAAGCACUUUAAGCGAGGAGGAGGCUACUAGUAUUAAUACUACUGGAUAGUGGACGUUACUCGCAGAAUAAGCACCGGCUAACUCUGUGCCAGCCGCCGCCGUAAUAC